rfam:Camelus ferus unplaced genomic scaffold scaffold335, whole genome shotgun sequence.
GGGGGUAUAGCUCAGUGGUAGAGCAUGUGCUUACCACGUACAAGGUCCUGGGUUCAAUCCUCACUAUGUCCA